rnacentral:rRNA from 1 species
CCCGGGACGUCGACGAUGGCUCAGACUUGAACGCUAGGCGGCAGGCGUUAACACAUAGCAAGUACGAACGACUAGACUCUCUAGCUUGCUAGAGAUGAUUAGUGGCGGACGGGUGAGUAACGAUUUAGGAAUACGUACCUACGUACGUGGGGGAUAGACUCGGGAAACUCGAAUUAAUACCGCAUACGACCUACGGGUGAAAGGGGGCGGCAAGCUCGUUGCUAUUAGAUGAGCCUAAAUCAGAUUAGCUAGUUGGUGGGGUAAAGGACCCACCAAGGCGACGUAUCUGUAACUGGUCUGAAGAGGAUGAUCAGUCACACCGGAACUGAGACACGGUCCGGACUCCUACGGGAGGCAGCAGUGGGGGAAUAUUGGACGAAUGGGGGGCAACCCCUGAUCCCAGCCAUGCCCGCGUGUGUGAAGAAGGCCUUUUGGUUGUAAAGCACUUUAAGCAGGGAGGAGAGGCUAAUGGUUAAUACCCAUUAGAUUAGACGUUACCUGCAGAAUAAGCACCGGCUAACUCUGUGCCAGCAGCCGCGGUAAUACAGAGG